GACGAACCCUGGCGGCGUGCUUAACACAUGCAAGUCGAACGGAAAGGCCCUGCUUUGGUGGGGUGCUCGAGUGGCGAACGGGUAAGUAACACGUGAGUAACCUGCCCUUGACUUUGGGAUAACUUCAGGAAACUGGGGCUAAUCCCGGAUAGGAGCUCCUGCUGCAUUGUGUGGGUGGGAAAGUUUCGGCGGUUGGGGAUGGACUCGCGGCUUAUCAGCUUGUUGGUGGGGUAGUGGCUUACCAAGGCUUUGACGGGUAGCCGGCCUGAGAGGGUGACCGGCCACAUUGGGACUGAGAUACGGCCCAGACUCCUACGGGAGGCAGCAGUGGGGAAUAUUGCACAAUGGGCGGAAGCCUGAUGCAGCAACGCCGCGUGCGGGAUGACGGCCUUCGGGUUGUAAACCGCUUUCGCCUGUGACGAAGCGUGAGUGACGGUAAUGGGUAAAGAAGCACCGGCUAACUACGUG
rnacentral:rRNA from 1 species